rnacentral:rRNA from 1 species
AUGGGGCGGAUAUGGGCACGCCCGCCACGUCGGACCCGACAGCCCGACCCCACCGCAAAUUGCACCAAAUCCACCCCCAAGACCUGCCGGAUCCAUUUGAUAUCUCCUCUCUUCCUCCUCCGCACCGUCCGUCUCGCAGCUCCGCCACGCGCCCGCUCCGCAGCCAAUCCUAGCCUCUGCGCCGCCAGCUCCGGCAGAGCAGUCCUCUCUCCCGUCCUCGCCGCGGGGGACGUCGUCGCCGGCCAGGACGUCACCGCGGUACGGCCGGCAACUCUCUGGCUCCACCUUGCACUUGAUGUGUUCGACACAUUGUCCGACCGGAUUUUUUGUGAUUUUAUUAGGAAAACGAUGGAUUCCGAUGCUUCGUCUGACGAGGAGUAUGAACCGACGGAGCUUGAUCAAAUGAUACAAGAUGAGUUCUUCGAUUCCUCGGAUUCGGACGAAGAAGUGGACAUGAUCAUGCUCAUGAGCAUGCAAGAGGACAUCAGGUGCACACGCAGCUACUGA